rnacentral:snoRNA from 1 species
UAAAUGAUGAAAACGUACGCUUGGCAUCUGAAUAAUUUAUUUGAAGAUAAAUUCUUAAUCAGUUAUCCCUAUCUGAUAAAAAAAAAAA